rnacentral:rRNA from 1 species
GUUAGGAAUAUUGGACAAUGGGCGCAAGCCUGAUCCAGCCAUGCCGCGUGAGUGAUGAAGGCCUUCGGGUUGUAAAGCUCUUUAGUCCACGAAUAUAAUGACUGUAGUGGAAGAAUAAGCCCCGGCUAACUUCGUGCCAGCAGCCGCAGUAAUACGAAGGGGGCGAGCGUUAUUCGGAAUCACUGGGCGUAAAGCGUGCGUAGGCUGUUUUGUAAGUCAGAAGUGAAAGCCCAGGGCUUAACCCUGGAAUUGCUUUUGAAACUACAAGACUCGAAUUCGGGAGAGGAUAGCGGAAUUGUCAGUGUAGCAGUGAAAUGCGUAGAUAUUGACAGGAACACCAGUGGCGCAAGCGGCUAUCUGGACCGAUAUUGACGCUGAGGCACGAAAGCGUGGGGAGCAAACAGGAUUAGAUACCCUAGUAGUCC